CCCAGGGGGGUGGGACUAGCAGUCCUGCUUUUGCACGCUGCGCAGUAGACGAGAUGGUUUUACAGGUUUGGAUGCUGCAAACUUCCUAAGAUUGUGACUAACUGCUUAGAGUUGGAUGCUUUCCUGCACUAAACGUGGAUUUAUGUGGAAAAUCCUCUGAAAUGACCACAAACAGCUUGCUUAUAAAUAAUACCUCUUAUUAGAAUUUUUUUUUUUUUUUUUUUUUUAAAAGGAAAAGAGUAAUAAAUAUUACACUGAAAUACUUCGCAGUGAAGUCUUUUGCUUAAAAAUAGUUUUUGGAGCUUUCAAAAAAAAAAAAAAAAAAAGAAAAAAAAAAAAAAAAAAAACUGGUGGCUUUGCAAGAAUUUUUUUCUUCUUUUUUUCCACCUUUUGGAAGUGUUGUGUAAACCGGCGUAGGAGGAGUUCGUUUAAAACCCGUCAAGAAACGGAAUUUAUUCAUUCACGUUGCUACUGUGAACGGGGCUCGCAAUAUUGAGCAGGAGCUGGUGCUGAUAAAUGCAUCACCGCUUGUAGCAAGCCUUGCGUCACAAGCAGAUGGGUCUCUUCCAAAGAAACGGGAUCUUCAUGGGUUGAGUGUGGCAGAACCAUGUUAUUGAGCGCUCAGUCUUCUCUGGUCUGUGCAUCAGGACCUGUGUAAGGCAUGUUUAGACUUGCGCUUGUAGGCAGGCUUGGUGAACAGUGAGCAGACACCUGCACUGUGGAAGGGACUACUCCAAUCAGCCUGCUUUUGGACCACAGAGCUGGGCAGUUACUAUGCAGUUUGGACUAUUUGUAGUGGUGAUUUCCUUCAGCUUAAUGGAUUAUACAGGCAGCCUCAAGGUCUCAAAGGGAAGGAGGCAGAGACGAAGUAA